rnacentral:lncRNA from 10 species
CCAGUUUUGACUUUUGUUGAAUGCUAGCUCCACUAGAAAUGUUACCAAAGCAACGAUAAGACAAAGCUGAAUUUAUUCUUACCAUGAUUUUUCCUGCCAUUGAAGAAGUGGAAAAAAGACUGGGUCUAUAGUACGUUCAGACAAAUCUUAAACAAAAGUUAACAUCUGUGAUUCUCAACCAUUGGAUGCAUAAGAGUAACCUGUGGAGCUUAUUCUCAACUUAGAUGGCCAGCUUUCAAUCCAAAUAUCCUGAUUCAGACUCUGAGGAUGGAGCCCAGGAAUCUCUCUUUUGAAGCCACUGUGGAGUGACUGUGAUGCACACCAAACAUUGCGAACCAAUAAAUAAGAUCACUGCCCAAUCAGUCUAAAUUGGGCUAAAUGUCCCUUUUUUAAAGGAUAGAUUAAUUUAGUCCGGUAAUUUAGAGUUGGCUGCUCGAGAAGAUGACACUACUAGCAAUGUUGAGAACAGAAAAAACAAUCAAACAUAAAACGUGAUUUGUCUAUGCUCUGUAUACAUGAUCAAUUUCAAGUCAACUCAUCAAACAUUUAUUGAGCACUUACUAUGUGCCAAGUUUUGGACCAGAUUCUGGAUCUAUCAUGAUGUUAAAAAAAAUGUAUUUGUCAGAAUAGGCCAGAUUAUACUAUAGGACAGACGUCCUUCAAAAUCUCAGUGGCUUAAAGCAGGUUUAUUUCUUGCUCACACUGCACAUACACUGUGGUUUGUCUUAGAACAAUGUUCCAUAUAGUCUUUAAUCUGGGACCCAGGCCAGUGGAGAAGUCACUAUUUAGAGUGUUUUCAGUCACCAUGGCAGAGGGAAAGAGCAUGUGGCAAACUGUGCUGCCUUCAAAGUAUCUGCCUAGAAACAACACAGAUCACUUUCACUUAUACCACAUUGUCUAAAGCAAGUUCCAUAAUCACCUCUACCUCUGAGGGGCAGGGAAGUAUAACUUAACCAAAUACCCCAAAAGAACAAAUCCAGAAUUUUGAGGAACAGAAUGAGUGAAUUCAACAAUUAUUAACACCCUUGAGAAUUUUGCAAUCUAGUAUGGGAAUUAAGGCCCAUAGAAAUGAAUGUAAUAAAAUUUGUCAUGUGUUGCAAUAGAGCUAUAUAAAAAGUUAUUGUUGAUGAAUGAAAUAG